GAUGAACGCUAGCGGCAGGCUUAACACAUGCAAGUCGAGGGGUAUUGGUUUUCGGACCAAGAGACCGGCGCACGGGUGCGUAACGCGUAUGCAAUCUACCUUUUGCAGAGGGAUAGCCCAGAGAAAUUUGGAUUAAUACCUCAUAGUAUAGUACUUUGGCAUCAAGGAACUAUUAAAGUCACAACGGCAAAAGAUGAGCAUGCGUCCCAUUAGCUAGUUGGUAAGGUAACGGCUUACCAAGGCUACGAUGGGUAGGGGUCCUGAGAGGGAGAUCCCCCACACUGGUACUGAGACACGGACCAGACUCCUACGGGAGGCAGCAGUGAGGAAUAUUGGACAAUGGGCGCAAGCCUGAUCCAGCCAUGCCGCGUGCAGGAUGACGGUCCUAUGGAUUGUAAACUGCUUUUAUACAGGAAGAAACACUCCGACGUGUCGGAGCUUGACGGUACUGUAAGAAUAAGGAUCGGCUAACNCCGUGCCAGCAGCCGCGGUAA
rnacentral:rRNA from 1 species